rnacentral:rRNA from 1 species
GACGAACGUUGGCGGCGUGCUUAAUACAUGCAAGUCCACUGAAGCAGUGGUAGCAAUAUCGCUGUGGAGGUGGCGCACGGGUGAGUAACACGUAGGUAAUCUGCCUUCAGGUCUGGCAUAACUCCGGGAAACCGGGGCUAAUAGCAGAUGAUGCAGCGGCUCGACAUCGAGACAGUUGUUAAAGCUAUGGCGCCUGAAGAUGAGCCUGCGUCUGAUUAGCUAGUUGGCGGGGUAACGGCCCACCAAGGCAACGAUCAGUAGCUGGUCUGAGAGGAUGAUCAGCGACACUGGAACUGAGACACGGUCCAGACUACUACGGGAGGCAGCAGUAAGGAAUAUUGCUCAAUGGGUGAAAUCCUGAAGCAGCAACGCCGCGUGAGGGACGAAGGGCUUUUGCUUGUAAACCUCUGUAGUGAGAGAAAAAAAUCCCAAUCUUUGGGACAUGAUGGUAUCUCAAAAGUAAGCCCCGGCUAACUACGUG